UUUUCAGCAUGACUGGGCCGGUUACUUCCCUGGGCGGAGUACGCCCAGAACUCACUUCGUCACUCCCCCACCGGGCUGUCUCCCUUCCAGUGUGUCCUGGGGUACCAGCUGGCUCUGCCCUGGCCUUGUGGACCCCGAACCAGACCGAAGCCCCUGCGGUGGACGAGUGGUUCUGUUGCGCAGAGGAAGUUUGGAACGCUGCCCACGUGAGGCACCAAUGUGUCGUCCGCCGCCAGAAGGAGCAGGCGGAUCGCCACCACAGUGAGACUCCUGUGUUCCAUCCUGGUGAUCAGGCUGGUAGUUCCUGGUCCCCUGGCUGAUGCCGAACCUCACGACACCCCUCCACCUCCCCUGGACAUCUAGGGAAGCCCCGCCUAUGCUGUCAGAUCCCUCCUGGACUCCCGACGUUGUGGGUGUCGGCUCCAGUACCUGGUGGACUGGGAGGGGUAUGGUCCAGAAGAGCGGUGUUGGGUUCCGGUGGACGACAUUCUAGAUCCCAACAUCAUCUGAGAUUUCCACCUUCGCCGACCGGACCGGCACGCUCCUUGCCCUCAGGGCGGUCCCUGUGGCUGGAGCCGCACGUUGGGGGGAGGGGGUACUAUCACGUCUUCUCUCACUCCGGCACUCGACGUCACCGGUCUACUAACCACCGGUCCUGGCAACCCAUCAUUACACCUACCUGGCAACCAUCAUUGCGCACACCUGCACCUCAGCAUGAGGCACACAUGGACUAUAUCACUCCGUGAUUACUUCCCCUUUAUCUAGCACUCCAUUGUAUCACCCAUUAUGUAGUAUUGUUUCCUGUUUUCCUGUUUAGACGCUACUCCUGUUUUUGUAUUCAUGCCAAGUUCAUUCCUAUUGAAUUCACCAACUGCACCUGGUUCCUAACUCCCUGCGUCUCCAUUACAAUCUGAUUGUUAAACAAAUCACUUCAAAAAGUAGGCUACCUGUUCGUCCACUCCAAAAUAAUUCCAGCAUCCAAACUGCAUGUAGCCUAUACUCGUGCCCUUUGAUGAAUGGAAAUAGACAUCUGUUACAAAACACCUGUAACGCCCUGGCCAUAGAGAGGGGUUUUUUGUUCUUUAUUUUGGUUAGGCCAGGGUGUUACAUUGGGUGGGCGUUCUAUGUUCUUUUUCUAGGUUUUUUGUAUUUCUUUGUUUUGGGCUGUGUGUGGCUCCCAAUCAGGCACAGCUGAAGUUCGUUGUUGUUGAUUGGGAGUCACACAUAAGGAGCAUGUUUUUCCUUUGGGUUUUGUGGGGG
rnacentral:lncRNA from 1 species